UGGUGCAUCUUCUCCUGCUCCUCUUCAUCAAGCACACGAUUGCCAUCUCGGUCAAACCUGAUUUCAAGACCAUCCAAUUAAACUUUCUCCUUUGACAAAUAAAGACCCAAAAGGGGCUCAGUGACUUCCUGGUCCAACGGAACAUAGGCUGGAAGAGGCAAACUUGGGAUUUAAAUUCAGGGUGUUGGUGAACUCCUGGAACUGGAGGCCCGGCUCCCCAGCCCGCAGAGCCCUCUGCACAUCAGAC